AUUCAGACAGGUACCACCUUCUAUUUUUAAUACAAGCCAAGAGACGCAAACGUUAAAGACCAGUGCUAUCUCAAAUCCCCGGGUGUGAAUACUUCGUCUGUCACGACUGUCCCUGGGAAUCCACAGGAGGUGAACUGAAUAAGAUUAGACUAUUUACCCCAUCAACUCUCCAUCAAAGAAGGAUUUAAAACGGCACCUGAGAAUGAUUUGAAACGUAUUUACAGCGAAAGACUUGUAUAAGCGUUAAAAAAAAAAAUGCCAAAACUAAAUUCUCGCUUUGUUGAUACUUCGCAAUGUGUUUAAUUAGCUGCAUCGGUUUUUGCUUCAAUUUAUCUGCCUAACCAUUUCUUUACGCCUUUGGCAUUUAGACCUGAACUUCGUGCAAGUUUUUCAAAUUUGAUGGAAAGUGAAACUAUUUGACAGAGGGUUCGGCGGGUUUUUGGUUAGAUUUGAGAAAAUUUUUUUCUGUUGAUAUUUUGAGAGUUUUGUUUAAUUUUUUUUUUUGUUUGUUUGAGGGUGGGCUCGGAGAGGGAGUUUCGGUUUGUCGGGGUUUUUUGGUCAGUAAUUCCCUGAGUGCAGCCGGUCACGCUGCAUGCAGAGCAGCGCCUGCUUAAUGCCGCCAUCGGGAUGCUCCUCCACGUCCUCGGCGGCUCUGCAGCAAUGCGCCGCAGCAUCCCUCGGGCGGCCUGCGGGGCUCGGGGUCCCGGGAGAGCCGGCAGCGGGGCACGGCCCGCUCUGCUCCGCAUCGACCCGUCAGGAGCAUCCCGGGGGCUCGGGGCGGCGGGGACAGCGCUCAGCCGGGACUGCCGCCCCUCGGGAAACAACCCGGGUGGUGUCCGCACCGCGGGACACGCGUGGGCACCGGAGGGGCCGCGGCGCUGGCGGAGCACACACGGCCCGGGCCGGACGGACGCUCGGCUUCCCCAAGAGUUUUCUGCUCCCCUGACGGAUGAUCCACCAUGCUAUAACGCCUACCUUUAUUCUUAAUUUGAAAAUUAUAUUUUCUAAAUAACUUGUUCCCCCAGUGAGGAAGGUCUCUUUUAUUUUGUUUUGUUUUGUAUUAGAGUCGUUUUGCCGUGAAACCCCCGGUUUUGAUACCCGCUUGGCAAAACCCGCUCUCGGAGUUUCUCAUUUCCCGUGCGCUCUUCGCUAACCUGGCAAACGGAAAAUUGUGUUAAACAAACAAUCAGUUGUCGCACAAUGUCGGGGUGAAAUUGUAAUAACAAAUGAAACACAAGCAAAUUGUGCUGCAUAGUGUUGCUAAGCAAUUGUUUGUUACGGGAGGGUGGUCACAGCAUGGGUUGAAAGAGGGAUCUAAAGAGGAGCAUAGCGCUGGGCAGAGCAAGCUGUUAGGCAUGAAAUACGGUAAACACCGCGCUGAUUUUCAAUAUUAUUACCCAAACACGAUUCCAUACAAAGCAAUCACCAUACACAAGUCUAUGAAAAUGCGCUUGGAGAAAACGGACAUAUUUUUUUCUUUUAUUUUAAUACAUUAAAGAACAAUUCCGGGGAUGCAAAACGCACCCACCGCCUUCCCGGCGGAGCCUUUGGCCGGCUGGAACGGUACCGGGGCUGCCGGCCGGGAGGGGCCCGGGGCACCCCAGCUCGGCCCGGCCCGGCCCGGCACGGCACCGCUCGGCACGGCACGGCUCGGCAAGGCCCAGGCUCGCCGUGCGCAGCGGGUCCGGCUGCGGCUCCCGCCCCACGCCAGGGGCAACGAGGGCUGAACCGGGGGCUUGGGGAUGAGCGGCAGCGAACGGGCGCUUCGCGGCACAUCUCUCACUUAGAAAUGCCAUCACCCUGCAGCGCUCACCCACGUUUGUUUCAAAUUGAUUGCAUCAUUGCUUCACCAGGAAAAAAAAAAGUAUAAAAGUCAUACAAUGCGAAAUUACCGUAAUUUGUUCCCAGAAUAAACUUAUCUUGAACUGAUUAGGAGAGUCA
ensembl:lncRNA